UACGGGGGGGGCAAGCGUUGUUCGGAAUUACUGGGCGUAAAGGGCUCGUAGGUGGCCAACUAAGUCAGACGUGAAAUCCCUCGGCUUAACCGGGGAACUGCGUCUGAUACUGGAUGGCUUGAGAUUGGGAGAGGGAUGCGGAAUUCCAGGUGUAGCGGUGAAAUGCGUAGAUAUCUGGAGGAACACCGGUGGCGAAGGCGGCAUCCUGGACCAACACUGACGCUGAGGAGCGAAAGCCAGGGGAGCAAAGCGGG
rnacentral:rRNA from 1 species